UUCCACUUGAGUUUUGCGACACCAUCCUCCUAAAAUACUGGUGUCUCCAUUCCCUGUAGUAUUCACCACAUAUAAUUAGCAAUUUGCAGUUUUACGCCAGGAUUAUCCCAGCAGCUGUGACCUCAGAUGAAUUUAUCCGGGAGCGCAAAGGAGAUGGAGAGAACAGGGACUGAGGGUCUGGAUGGGACGGAAGCUGUGGAGCAGGAGGUCAAGAGUCCAGGUCUAGAAACAAAGAAAAUGCUAAUCAUAGGAAGUAUGAUAUGUGGAGGCAUUGCCAUUCUUCUUUGGGCAAUGUUAGGAUUUCCUAGAAAAUGACUUUUUGACCUACUAUCUGGGGACCUCUUCUUACUGGAUUGGACUGAAAAAGCAAAAUGCAAGUGAGCGCUGGAUGUGGGCAAAUGGUAAUGCAUUCAGCAAUAGGUUCACUAUCAAAGGAAGGGGAAACUGUGCCUUCAUUUUUAAGAAGGGCAUAAGUAGUGCCAAUUGUGAAAAUGCAAAAAAAUAUAUAUGCAGUAGAAAAGGUGUUUGUCCUUAGUUCCCCUUUCAUGAGUUAAAGCAAUUAAAGAAAAUCUAGCUUUUUAUGUAUUCUAAAUUCACAUACAUUUUCCUUCCCAUCAAACAAAUAUCCUAAGUUUACUGAUAAAAAUUUAAUUUUUAUCUUUAUUUAAAAACAUCUCUAACAAGCCAAGAAACUAACCUGAGAUGUUAAUCUUUCUAGAAUGAGAACGGGGAUUUCUGUCUGCUUUGUUCAUGAAUCUCUCUCACAUACCCAGAACAAUACCCAGCACAUACUCGACACUGUAUAGAUGUAAAAGAACCAAGAGAUAAAUGUAUGCAAUAUGUUUUCACAACUUAUACUGGACCACAUAUGUUGGUGCAGCUAAUCUUAUGAGUAUAGUGAUGGUCUUGGUCAUAACUGGUAAAUGAGCAUGCUUCAGUGAAACAGAUUGUAGAGUAGAGAGAAGGGAGGGAAAGAUACCUCUAAAGUUCAAUUAAAUUGCCUAAGAGAUAAAAAAAAAAGAUGAAAUGUGAGGUGAACUUUGAUGUUCCACUUAGCAUUGAAUGAGUAUGUAACUCAUUUAGGAUUUGGAAAGGAGGUCCAUGGGAGAAAUAUUCAGAAAUUAAUUAGGAUUUUUUACUUUGUAUCACCAUCAGAGACUCUGUUGUCAAUUGAUGCCAAUGACUGGCUGGGAAAUAUGCCUCAUUCUGAAGGAUAGA